rnacentral:rRNA from 1 species
UACGUAGGGUGCAAGCGUUAAUCGGAAUUACUGGGCGUAAAGCGCGCGUAGGCGGCCCGGUAAGUCCGCUCUGAAAGUCCAGGCUCAACCCUGGAAAGCGGGUGGAUACUGCCGGGCUAGAAUCCGGAAGAGGCGAGUGGAAUUCCUAGUGUAGAGGUGAAAUUCGUAGAUAUUAGGAAGAACACCAGUGGCGAAGGCGGCUCACUGGUCCGGUACUGACGCUGAGGUGCGAAAGCGUGGGGAGCAAACAGG